AACCCUACCUCCACCUCUCAACCACCGUCUCCACCCUCCACUGCCUCAAACCACCGCUUCCACCCUCCACCACCUCUAAUCAUAGCCUCCACACAAAACCUGUUUCAAAAAGCAUUAGCCAUGGCAUUGAACACCUCUGUCAUCAUCUUCCUUAAGCCACCAUCGCCAAUUGAACACCUUUUAUUAGACUCGUGGUUUCAAACUUGAAGAACCAAUUAUUUUUAUUUCAUGAAGCUGAAGACGAAUACGAUAUCGAUCGGUUACCCAAGUGUACAGUGGUGGUAACAUCAGGUCUGACGCCCAUCGCAUGAACCCAUCACAGUUUGGUCGGAAAGUGUUGCCUGCAGUUGUGGUAGUGGUGGUUGGUUAUAGAAAGAUGGUGGUGAGUUGAAGAAAGAGUGAUCGGUGAUUUUUUGGGGAUCUAUUAACCAAUUUUUGCCUACCACCAUGUAUGCAGCCCAACACCAUCUUAUGUCACAACUUGCAACAACUUACCACCGCCAAACCCCCUAAACUUAAAGAAUAAACAGAUCUAUAGAAGUUAUAAGAGAGAAGUUAUAGUGAUGGGUGUGGCGGAACUGUUCGUCGGAGGUGGUGGGUGUAGCGAAAUUGUUCGCCGGAGGUGGGAUGGUUGUUGAUACUUCCGCGACUGCAGGGAUUUGUGGAGAUGUCUGCUGCUAACUGCAACUCGCUGCCACCACCUCACCCCGACUUCCAAUUUUAAAGGGUUGUCGAUGGUGACGAUGUUGUGGUGAUGUUUGGUGGUGUUGUUGGUUCGAUAGUGACCAGAACCGGUGGUGGAUGGUGGUACGUGCUAGGUGGGGUUAAGAAGAUGAAGAAGAGGAUGGUGGGUCCCAAUUUUUAUAUUUAAAUAAUAGUUGUGCCCCGCCCCCUCUUGUCUUUAUAAAUGAUUAAUUUAUGUUUUAUUU
rnacentral:lncRNA from 1 species